ACCCUUUCAGGGUCACACCUGGAGAGUUCCCAGUACUCUACCAGUCUCAACUACAGGAGGGAGAAUCAGGCAGAGGCCGCUCCAUUCCAUUCCUAGCUUGGGCAGUGGUGAGUGAGUGGAAGACAAUCUGCUACAAGU
rnacentral:snoRNA from 1 species